rnacentral:rRNA from 1 species
CAGCCGCCGCGGUAAUACGUAGGGUGCAAGCGUUAAUCGGAAUUACUGGGCGUAAAGCGUGCGCAGGCGGUUAUAUAAGACAGAUGUGAAAUCCCCGGGCUCAACCUGGGAACUGCAUUUGUGACUGUAUAGCUAGAGUACGGCAGAGGGGGAUGGAAUUCCGCGUGUAGCAGUGAAAUGCGUAGAUAUGCGGAGGAACACCGAUGGCGAAGGCAAUCCCCUGGGCAUGUACUGACGCUCAUGCACGAAAGCGUGGGGAGCAAACAGGAUUAGAUACCCGCGUAGUCCCUGUCUCUUAUAC